UACGUAGGUGGCAAGCGUUGUCCGGAAUUAUUGGGCGUAAAGCGCGCGCAGGUGGUUCUUUAAGUCUGAUGUGAAAGCCCACGGCUCAACCGUGGAGGGUCAUUUGGAAACUGGGGAACUUGAGUGCAGAAGAGGAUAGUGGAAUUCCAAGUGUAGCGGUGAAAUGCGUAGAUAUCUGGAGGAAUACCGGUGGCGAAGGCGGCAUCCUGGACCGGCAUUGACGCUGAGUGAGCGAAAGCCAGGGGAGCA
rnacentral:rRNA from 1 species